AUGCAGAACAACGGAUUCCUUUCAACCCUCCCAGGAAUCCUAAUUUCUAACGGCAAUGUCUGUGAGUACGCCUGGGAGCAGAUACUUGGAGGACAUGGAGAUGCUUCCAGGAUUCUUGGGCUUUCUCAUUAUUUUCACUGCCAUUUUUCACGGAUGAAACAGACGAAAGUCUUGCUGCAUGGACUCAAAAAUCCAAGGACAUGCAAACAGUUUCAACAAGCAGAUUUGGACUGCAUUUGGCAACAAAAGGCUGUGACAUUUGGAGAAUGACAUGUCUGAUGUUCACACAGACGCCGAGCAGAUUUAGGUUUCAGAUGCUGGCCGGAUCCUUUUGUUAACUGCAGAUGACAGAACAAUUACUAUGAUGAAAAUGACCUCUGCAAAUGACAUGAGUAAUGAGUAAUGAGUACAUGCUAAAACACAUUUCUUCAAAAGAUUGAUUUCUUCAGUUGUUCAGCCGUCUGUUCAGUUGAUCCGGGAACUCAUGCCUUUAAAAUUCUGUCUGUCAAUACAUCAAUAGCCAAACAUUAAAAAUAGAAGAUUUCUUAAUUUUUCUUCAUUUCCCCCCUCCUUUUCUUAAUUUUCAAAUGUUUCUCUUUCAUUCUGUCCUUCUCUUCUUAGCAAGAGAGCUCAUGCCCUUACAUUUUUGUGGUUGUUUAGCAUCAAAUAUUUGAUGGGAACAACCCCUGGCUUGCUAGAGAAGUCCACUAACGGUGGGAGCAACGUGUAUCGUUACAAAGUCACGGCGACACACGUUUUCAAUUUGCUGGUAAUGUCUACAAGCUGAUUUGGGGUUUAAAACUCUCCGCUGAGAAGCCAGGAUAGAGUGAUGACAAGACAUGCUUUGUCCAUGUUUGGACACAGAACUACAAUCAAACCAAAACCCACAAAACAACAGGCAUUUGGUGGGGUUGGACCAAGGUAAGUACACUUCCAACCUUCCUUUAGGAGAAUCACUAUUGCUUUGGGACAGCUGGAUCAGGUGUGGUUUGGAAAAUCACAAUUUAAUUCAGAUCAGCACAUGUCAAGAAGUAGGGGUCUUCUUUUAAUGCUAGUGUU
rnacentral:lncRNA from 1 species